AAUAACUGACUUUUUGUAUGCAUAUCAGGCAAGAGAACCCCUAUUUUGUGCCGUGACAAUGCCACAUCCGCCCAUCUGCCUGGGGCCCAGACACCUUUGCUGCUCAGUAAUUCAGCAGGAGGACACAGCCCAGGGGCACAGAGGAGGCUGCGGCAGGGACAGAGCAGACCAAGUAUGCCCCGGGCCCUGUCCAGCUCUGCGGGUCAGUGGAGUGAUGGUCAGGCCCGGCCUCCUGUGAGUCUCUCAGAAGCGGGCGAGGACCUGUACACCUGGGCUUGGAAAGGCCUGCUAUCCAGCUGUGCUGAAGUGGGGCUAAGGAGAGACCAGUGAAGAGGCUGUGCUCCCCUGGCCCAGGGGCAUGGCAGUGGGGCCAGCGCCAAACGGAGAGGACCUAUGAGACUCCUCGCAGCUGCACUGCCCGGAGUUUGCACCCAAGCUGACAAACACAGUCAUCCUGAAGAAGAGAAAGGGCGAGCAGAGCUUGAGGUUUGGACGAGCAGAAGCCUGUAGGAUGGAAUUGAUGUGGAGCCCAGGAAGCAUCUCUAUGCCAGGGCGUGGUGGAAGGAUCUUCUUUCUUCUGAUCCCUCAGUCGAGGAGAAAUCCUAGGCUGCCUGUGAUGAAUGAAGUCAGUUUUAAUCCCUUAGCAAUGCACAGCGCUGAACAGAUAAUCUUGCUCAGUAACGUCCUAGGGACACAGACUGAGCCUCAGCAGCUGCUGUGCAGAGGAUUUCCGCCUCUGCUUGAAUAAUAGGUCUGGAUCUCACUGGUCAUUAAGGAAGAGGAAAGAGCCACUCAACAGUUCCUUGAAACCCCUGGCACUCCCAGUGUGUUAGCUUUGGAAAUCACUCCCAACAGCAGCUG
rnacentral:lncRNA from 1 species